CCUCAUUAUUCUUUCAUCGUGUUUUCUAAUCAUUCAUCGUUUACAUAAUAUUACCCAUUUUGAUUGAUUGCAGAUCAAUGGUGGAUACUUGGGUAAUUUCUCCUCCUUUUUUACCCACUGUAAAUUUUGUUGCAUGUAUUCAAUAAUUGUUGUGUUCUAAUUGAAGGUUACACCAGUUCUUUUUGAUUCAGUUGUUGGAGGGCUGACGAUGUUUGAGCCUACUUAUGUCAUUUUCUCGGGUGCCUUUUUUCAUGUUAUGCAUAUAGACUAAUAAUACAGUUAGUAAUUACGUAUCUUUUUAAUAUUAACGAUGCUUUGGUUCGUUCUUACAAGAUCCAGAGAAGACCAAACUACAGCUUCUACAAAAAGCACAUAUGUCGUUCACCUGGGUGGUUAUUUAGAAAGAUAAAUUCCAGUGAUGUUAUUAAAUAUGCGUGUAAUGUAAGCACCGCAAGGAGGGGAAGUUGAUUCUGGCCACCCUCCAAUUUAGUAGCAUUAGUUUUCAAAGAGAAAUUAUGAGAAAUAACACGUCAACUAAAAACGAAAUAAAACCAAUAGACGCUCAUGUGUGAAUAAAGACGUUGUGCCAAUUGUAUGUGUCAUCCAUGCAAAUUGGGUGACGCCAUCACUAGAAGAGAGCAUGUUGCUACUUAUUUACUUAAUGUACAUUAGGUACCUUU
rnacentral:lncRNA from 1 species